UACGUAGGGGACGAGCGUUGUCCGGAAUUACUGGGCGUAAAGGGCGCGCAGGCUGUAGAUCAAGUCGGCUGUGAAAUGUCUGGGCUUAACCCGGGCAUGCGGUUGAAACUGAUGUACUGGAGUGCUGUAGAGGCAAGUGGAAUUCCUAGUGUAGCGGUGAAAUGCGUAGAGAUUAGGAAGAACACCAGUGGCGAAGGCGCUUCUCUGGACUGUAACUGACGCUGAGGCUCGAAAGCGUGGGGAGCAAACAGGAUUAGA
rnacentral:rRNA from 1 species